GUGCCAGCCGCCGCGGUAAUACGUAGGUGUCGAGCGUUGUCCGGAUUUAUUGGGCGUAAAGAGCCCGCAGGCGGCUUGGUAAGUUCGAGGUGAAAUCUCCCGGCUUAACUGGGAGGGUGCCUCGAAAACUACCAGGCUUGAGGCAUGGAGAGGGAUGCAGAAUUCCAGGUGUAGCGGUGAAAUGCGUAGAUAUCUGGAGGAAUACCAGUGGCGAAGGCGGCAUCCUGGCCAUGUCCUGACGCUCAGGGGCGAAAGCGUGGGGAGCAAACCGGAUUAGAUACCCGCGUAGUCC
rnacentral:rRNA from 1 species